rnacentral:rRNA from 1 species
ACGUAGGGUGCGAGCGUUAAUCGGAAUUACUGGGCGUAAAGCGUGCGCAGGCGGUUGUGCAAGACAGAUGUGAAAUCCCCGGGCUUAACCUGGGGAAUGCAUUUGUGACUGCACGGCUGGAGUGCGGCAGAGGGGGAUGGAAUUCCGCGUGUAGCAGUGAAAUGCGUAGAUAUGCGGAGGAACACCGAUGGCGAAGGCAAUCCCCUGGGCCUGCACUGACGCUCAUGCACGAAAGCGUGGGGAGCAAACAG